UACGAAGGGGGCUAGCGUUGCUCGGAAUCACUGGGCGUAAAGGGUGCGUAGGCGGGUCUUUAAGUCAGGGGUGAAAUCCUGGAGCUCAGCUCCAGAACUGCCUUUGAUACUGAGGAUCUUGAGUUCGGGAGAGGUGAGUGGAACUGCGAGUGUAGAGGUGAAAUUCGUAGAUAUUCGCAAGAACACCAGUGGCGAAGGCGGCUCACUGGCCCGAUACUGACGCUGAGGCACGAAAGCGUGGGGAGCAAGCAGG
rnacentral:rRNA from 1 species